rnacentral:lncRNA from 1 species
AGGAAUUGUCGUAAAGGUUAAGAAAGGUUAAAGAUUUGCAAUUGAAAAUAAGGGGAAGGAAAGAAGUGGGUAUUUGUUUGAACUUGAUAUCCAUGAUGAGUGUCAACCCCCGAAGAUGGUGCAAUGAAGCAUAUUUAAUGGAAUGUGUCCUCCAUCAGUUCGUACUUCGAUGCUUAAGUUAGUUAGACUGUCCGAUCGGGUCUCUGGAUUCAAAAAUAAAUGCGUAAUAAAUAAACCUACUUACCU